AGCGAACGCUGGCGGCAGGCUUAACACAUGCAAGUCGAGCGGGCACUUUCGGGUGUCAGCGGCGGACGGGUGAGGAACGCGUGGGAACGUGCCCUCUGGUUCGGAAUAACUCAGGGAAACUUGAGCUAAUACCGGAUACGCCCUUUUGGGGAAAGGCUUGCUGCCGGAGGAUCGGCCCGCGUCGGAUUAGCUAGUUGGUGAGGUAACGGCUCACCAAGGCGACGAUCAGGAGCUGGUCUGAGAGGAUGAUCCGCCACACUGGGACUGAGCCACGGCCCAGACUCCUACGGGAGGCCGCAGUGGGGAAUAUUGGACAAUGGGCGCAAGCCUGAUCCAGCCCUGCCGCGUGAGUGAUGAAGGCCUUAGGGUUGUAAAGCUCUUUUAUCCGGGACGAUAAUGACGGUACCGGAGGAAUAAGCCCCGGCUAACUUCGUG
rnacentral:rRNA from 1 species